rnacentral:misc_RNA from 1 species
UGUGGGUCCUCCUCAUGCGCUGUUCCAAGUAAAGAUAUAUAUCUACAUAUACACAUCGGCAGCAAGCUGACGGGUGUCUAGCGCACUGCGGCAGCGCCCUGUAUGUAAGUGUCUGUGUGUGUGUGUGUGUCUUGCCUCCCUCCCAUAUUCGGCGCCUUCUCUCCUCUCUGCACCCUUGAUGAAGAAACAGAAAAAAAGGGGAAAGACGACCAACACGCAUAUAUACGAUAACACGGCAAGUAAUCUUAAUAGCAACGAAUAAAACCAGGGAGGCACACGCGACGCAUCAUCAUCGCUGCACCUGGUGAGAGCGAGUGAUCGGGAAUGCCGCCAAAGAAGAAGGGCCACACCCUCGUGGGAAGGCAAAAGGUGUUCCGACAUGCCGUCGAGCAUGUGCGUCUAGGGCUAGGGCACACGGUCCUCGGCAACCUCAGCCUCGGUCUUGCGGUAUCGAGUACCAGCGCUGCGGAAGGCAGCUCGACGGCAGGCCGCCCUGCCUUCUAUGUCGAGCUGAAUGAGCAGCUUCUCUCGCACACCUCGAAGGACUUCAAGAAGUUCCGCUGGGAAGUGCUGGAAUUGUGCGAGACGAACUCGCUCUUUCACCUGCACCACCGGCAGCUUGCGCAGAAACUGCUGGCGUGCUUGAUCGACCGCAGAGAUCACCGCGUCGACGCGACCACUGAUGAGUCGGCAGGCACCAAAGAAGCCACGAAAACCGCGUCGGUACAACGGCAGCACGGGGACGGAUCGACGACGCAGGCGUACGAGGCCUUUGCACGACUGACCAUUGCGUUCGUGCGGGACAUGGGCAGCAAGUUCCUGCCCUACUUUCAGAUCUUUCAGCAGGCAGUGCAGGCUGGCAUUUAUGACCACUAUGGGCACUUGAUCGUUGACACGGCCCGGCUGCAACUGGUGUUCGCCGUGCAGGCAGCGUGGUGUCGCGAGCUGCGUGAGUGCUGGGCCGACCCAGCCCACGCCGCUCUCGUUCGUCGGGUGAUUCGGCAAUACGUUGCGCAGCUGCACGACACAAAGGAGUACGUGCGGCGGCUGUCGGCGGAGCUGCUAGCCUUUUUGUGUCGUCUGAGCCGUCCUCUGCUGCCGCUGGUGGUGGAGGAAGCUUGUGGGGAUGUGUUGCGCAGCUACGAAGAGACCGCAACUGCAGCGGCAGCCGUGGAACGGGACUGGGACGAAACGAGUAGUCGUGGCAGCGUCAGUGAGCGCGAUGGCGAUGGCGACGACAGCGUGGGUGAAGAGGAGAGUGACGGCACUCAGAGCUCUGUUGGAGCUGCGCCAUCCACUUCAAUCUGGGCGAACAGCGUGCAGCUGCUCGAUUUCGUGCGGACGACGUUGCCUCACCAUCCAGUCGUGGAUGGGCUAACCUACUUUAUCGGGGAGCUGUUUCGAGGUGUGCGCGGUUCCCUCAGCUCCUCCUUUGAAACCCACUACGUGCGCCUCUUGCACGCCUUCCAGCUCCUGACGCGGCAAGACGGGAACUGGGACGAGGCGCGCUCGCCCGUUGAUGUGGUGCGGCUCAUGCACCAACUUCGACACCCGCUUGUCCCCUUCCUCGACGCCGUCAGCGAGGAGGACGGAGAUGAUGCGGCAGUGCAACACAAGGAGAUGCGGCGGUAUGCCGACCUUCACUCCACGCGCUGGUCUGUCGCGUUUGGCCUGCCAGAUCACGGCGAGGACGGCGAGGAAGGGGAGGAGGGUGCGACCGUGCUUAGCGGCAGUGACGUGCAGGGGGCCCGACACCUUCUGCGCAGCAUCGGCAGCCUAGCACUAGGAAACGCCACCGCGACAGUGCUGCGGGAAACUAAGAAGCAGUCUGCCUUCCUUCGGCCAGGCUCUUCCGACGAGGACGAGCUCGACGACGGCGCUUCGGCGGAGGCGGCAAAGGGAGACGGUGCCGUCUCCGCCGUGAAGAACGCCACCAUGCGCCCCAGUCACCGCAUCCUCGCGGCGGCCGUGCUCAGCCUUGGCUCGGCCUACCUGUCGCCGUCUUGGCCACACUACAUUGAUUUCCUUACGGCCAUGAUGGGGUCGGUGAACUUCGCGUUGUGGGUUGACAGUCGUGAGUCAGCGCUACUGCAGCGCCUCGCGGCGCAGCUGCUCGCGGCGCUUCGCCACCCACCUUCCAGUGCCUCCUUGGACACGGACGAUGCAAGGGCGCACGCUGCAGUGGAUGCGACAACUCUGCUCGAAGUGGCGGCCGCCAUUCUCCGUCUCCUCUCCCCGCUCUGUCUAUCUCCCUGCCUUGGUUCCAGCGCGGGCGCCGGUGCGGAUGUAUCUUCGCAUCUCCUACAGCUGCAGCAGUGGUUUGUGCCAGUUGCCAAGGCAGCGGUGCAGGUGUGCGUCAAGGCGGCCACGAAGGCGCUGCCGCACGUCGCGCGGUGUCACCGCUGUGAACAGGCGCAGCAGAUCCUCUUCGCUUUCGCACAAGAUGUGCUGCAGAAGAACUACGCUUUCGCCCUCGAGCAAGAGCGCCGCAUGGCUGAGGAGGCCGACGCGCGUGAUCUCGUGGGAGGGGAAGGUGGUGCACAUCGUGUUGGCAGCACCGCUGGCCUGCACGACACCCGCGAAGACGCCUGCAUGUCGGAGGAUGAUGACGGCGCCGAUGGGAAAGAAGCGGGGGGCGCCUACGCCGCGAAGCGUGCGCAGCGUCGCAGCGAGCACCUGCGCAUCCCGUCCUACCUUACCCCCUUUGCUCUCACCCUACUGCACACGAUCGGGAUGGCCCUCUGGCAGGGCGCCACAGUCGACGUGCGCGAACUGCGUAGUGCAGCCACGCAUACGGCCGCGUUGUCGACCUCGCUCGAUGAUGCUAUGAUCACCGCGCUGCGCCAGUCAAGCGUGCGGCGUGCGGUGCUGCUGAGCCGACUCCUGCAGGACCACACACAGCACAUGGUAGUGAGCCCGCUGCAACAGCUGCUGCGCCUCAAGUCGAUGCCGUCCACCGCAGCCAAGUGGAACAACACCAAAGGAAACAGCGCAGUUGCAGCAACAAACAGAGAAGUGUCGAUGCGCGACGUGCUCGAGUCCAUGACACUGGAACUCCUGCAGUACUACAAGGCAACGCAGGGCUCAGCGCCGUCCUCGACUGCGUCGGAGGCAAUGGCCUACGUCUCUUGUGCCUUGCCGCUCAUCCAGCUGCUGGUAUCAAACGCAGUGGCGGCAACGCCGUCGUCGACCUCUCCCGUGAAGGCGGCUCUCCUGAGCCUCUUGCAGAGUAUCGAGGAGCAAGACCAGGAAGGUGCAAAGUCGUCUCGACCGGCAGUGAGGACGGCCGCGGCGGCGUCGUCGUCGGUUCGCACCACCGCGCUGGACCCAGCCGUCUAUGCCUUGUACGCGGAGGUGGCGGCCAUGCUGGUGCACCUGACCACUAGGCCUUCCGCACGCAGUGGCACGAAGCUGUUGAAGAAGAAGUCACUGAAGAGUCAGCACGCGGCCGAUAACGGUGUGCACGACGGCAGCGCUACACGCGACGAUGAGCAGGAGGGCCUGCGUCACCUUUGCCGCACCGUGGCGGUUCUGGUGCAUGGCUUCCAGCAGCUUCGCGCGGCCACCUCGCCUCGUGAAACUUCGGGAAGCAGCAGCACCAACAACCCCGUCGACGAAGACACGGAGCUCGCUGCAGCCUCGACCGCCUUGUCGGAUCAGACGCGCGUUCAGCUCCUGCACGGCGCAGAGGUGUUGCUGCACGCUCUGCUCUGGAUGUUCAGUCUCGACUCGAACAGUCAGCUCUACGGGGAUGACUCUGGAACGGGGGUCGCUGCGUUCGCGCAGAUGCGUGGCAUGCCCGCUCUUGCAGCGGAGGCGCUCCCUGCGCACACACGAGCAGCACUGCGCUCCCUGCGUGCGGCACUGCCGAGUGUCCUUCACAGAGCUUUUGUGCAGGAUGUGCUCCUCGAGUGUCUCGCCGCCCCGAUUGCCGGCCUUCGCCUACUGGCGCUGCGGCUGCUGCGCCUAGUGUGUCAUCCAUCUCUGGACAUGGCAGACCGUCUCGUCGGUGCCCCAGCGGUGCCGCUUGACCUGAUUGAUGCGCUGCUCAGUGCCGCGCGCUUCAACCCGCUCUCGCACACCGGCAAGCUCGACGGCAUGCAGCAGGAGCUAUCACUGCUGACGUACCAAGUGGAGUCUGGCGCCAUCACACAGCCCUUCCAUCGUCAACUCAUUGCGCGCACAAUGAUUGGUUUUCUCUACAUGAAGUUCACCGGCGCGUGGGAGAUCGCGUCGAAGGUGCUAUGCAGCUUGGUGGCGCAGGAGCAAACGGGCCUGAUGAGCGUCAAGGACAUCGACGACAACGACGACGACGACGGCCGCAACACUGAGGCGGGGCUGGAUGAGCAAGGAGACGAAGAGACCCGAAAAGGUGGCAGUAGUAGCACAAGCCUCGCCACGCCGGCGCAGCACCACAAGCCGCAGCGUCUCCGGCGGCUGGAGCCGGUGGUGUGGAACUCCGUCGUGUGCGUUCACGCUAGAGCACUGGUCAUGGGUGACGUAGUCGCCGCCGGUGAUGCGACCUCAUCGGCGGAGAAGGUGCACCUGCGUGGUGAUGAGCACGCGGUCACUGGCAAUGCGGAUGAUGCAGCGGCCGCCACCGCAUCGUGUCAGGCGCAGCUGGCCCAGCUGCCGUGCCUCUACGGUAUCCACCUCACCGACCAGCAGCGCCACGUCAAGGGUGAGCUCGUGAGCCGCGUCUUCUCCAGCACGCAGUACAGCACUGCGGCGAUGACUCUGCUGAACAGCACCAAGGCAGAUUACGAGGUAGUGCGGUGGGAUCAGCAUUGGAUGCUGUCGCAGUGUUGCAUGAGCAACUCCGUCGACGCAGCGAAGGCGGCGACCAGCCGCAAGCAGCAGCAGGGCACCAGCGUCACCACGGCCGCCCUGUACGCCACCUCCACCGACCGCUCCACUCUUGCCCAGACGUUCCUUUCCAUAAUGGAGGCGAUGGUGAAGUCGAGCUCCGCAAUCGAUCGCAAGGUGCGCCUCGUGGAGGAUGUCGUGCUCGAACUUGUCGCGGUGGAGCGCAACCGCCAUCCAAGCGGCGUCGACGGCUCGCAGCUGCGCAAGUUCGACCAGCGACUGGAGGUCGCGAUGCGGGCAUGCGCCGCCGCGCCGAGUGGGGUGCUGACCGCCCAUCAGCGCAGGCAUGUAACGGCGGCCGUGCAGCGUGACAUUGAUGCCCGAAAUGCGGAGCUGCAGGGCAUAUACGUAUCGUACCUCUCCGAGGUGAACCCGCGGCUGCAGCGCGUCGCCGUGGACAACCUCAAGCGCCUGCGCGUGGAGCCGUUCUACACGUAUCACGCUAAGCUCGUCCCGUACUGUGACAGCAUGAAGAACCUCUUCGCCUUCCUCAGCGCCUUCCACGUCGAGAGCGACGUGCCGGCGCACGACGUUGUCGCGUACGUCUCGGCGGCUCUGUCCCUCGCGUUGCCGAAGCUACUGGCAGCGGUGUCCAAGAAGAAACUGAAGGAGCAGGCAGUGCUGAGCCGGCGGCUGAUGAGCUACCUCGAUCAUCUUACCCCAUCGGCGGCGGUGAGCAACAACAGCAGCAGUAGCGUCAGCCCCGGCGCUACAGCAAAGGACCCUCUCGCAGAGGUGUUUGACCAGCUGCUGCAUCGCCUCUUGUCCUUCGCCAUGCCGGCUUCCACGACGCUGGCGUCCGUGGCUGCUGACGGCGCGAGCGCAUACGACUUUCUCGCCAACGUGUGGGAGGACAUUGUGUACAGGGGGUGUGGCAUGUCGCUGGCGAAGGAGGCAGGUGGCGCCAGUGACUGUGCCGGGGGCACGGCCACUAUCUCGGAGCCGCGCCGGCGCUCCAGCCAUCACGGUAUUCGACGCCUUGAGCGCUUCCUGAAGCAGCUUAGCAGAGCGCUGCGGCUCCUGGAGGCGAUGCUGCACGCUGUGGGGCAGCGCUUCUCCGUCUACGUGUCAACAUGCCUGCACGUGGCCCUCCAAGCCUACCUUGUAGCGUGCAAGCAGUCGCUGCGUGCACCGGUGGACAACCUGCUCGCGAGCCUCACCAGCCACGAAGCGACGCCGCAGGAGGAGCGAGCGCGGCGGUGGGCUGCGCUGCUGAACAAGUCACUGGCCACCAGCGCUCUCUCCACGUCUUUGGCCCACGUCCGCCGCGCCGCAAUGACGAUUGUGGCGCUGCUGUUCGAGCAAUUCCCUGAGGACGUCAUGGAUGUGCUGCGUGGCAGGAGUGACGCGAGCGUCCGCGGGAGUAGCAGCGCAGUGGGCCAUGCCGCCACCACGACAGCACUCCCCCUCUUCACGCGCUAUCUCACCAUGCUGUUUGAGAACUCGAAAGGUACCACGGUGGACGGUGGCAGAGGCGCGCUUGUCAGCCGCGCCGGGCGGGGCGCGGUGGCAGUGGCGGCAAAGAGCUCUGUUACCCCGGUGCUGCGCCUCUUGACGGCGUGGGUCCGCAGCCCAGCUCUUCUUCCGCUCUUUUCUGCCUACCCUGACGUUGCCGUCGGGACGCUGGAGGAGGUGUUCGCCGUGAACCACAAUGCGGCCUCGGUGCACCGUGCCUCGACGCAGGCUCUCAACGAAGGUCUCCGCUGUGUCUCAGAGCUGCUGAGCUGCGCAGAGGAGCCGGUGCACGAGCUCCCCGGUAUACCUGCGGCUGUUGCGGACAAGAAGGGCGGAGUGUACAGCAGUCGUCUGCCGGUGAGAACGAUGUUUCGGCACUCCUUCCUGGAGAAGCACAUUGUGCGCGUCUUUACCUCCCUCUACACCCUCCUCACUUCGGGCGCCGCGCGAGAGGAAAAGGAAGCCGCGGCGGCAGCGAUGACAACAGCAACCGCGGCAGCGUCAAGAGGGUCGGGGGAGGCAGUGGCUGCCCGCGCAGAGCGGCGAAAGCCGUCACGCAGCAGCAAGCCGACCCGCACGGCCUCGCCAAAGGGCCGCCAAAGUGCGCGUGACCGGGAAAGGCCAACGUCCAUCAUGUCCCUCAGUGUGUCCAUGUGGCGAGAGGUGAUGCGCACCAUUGCGCAGCUGUCGCGAUUCCUGCAUGUCGGCUCGGCGACGUCGGCGUCGGCGUCGGCGUCCUCGCUGGCGAGCAUGCUGAACCGCCUGCUCGAGCUUGCACUGAAGAUGGUCGCCCACCCCGUGUGCAUGACGGACGCGCCCACAACGCAAAUGGUGACAGGCAUCGCCCAGGCGUUGAUGGAGCAGGUGGCGGAGGUCGACUACCGAGCGCACUGGCAGCCGUUGGUGCGGCUCUUCAACUUGGUCGUCAAUCCACACGCCCGGCACACCCUCUGCGCCACACUGUCGUUGGCGGUGGCAAAGCUCGCACUGCCAACCUCGUCGCCGUCGGCCGACUCGCCACGGAUGGAGUGGUUCCGCCGCCAGCUCGCCGCGGCGGCGCGUGCGGUCGCCUGCCUGAAUAGUUUUGAGAACGACGAGACGUUUGAGCGGUACGAUUUCGAGCUGCGCUACCACACCCUGCACUCUCUUCAUGAUUUCUUCGUUUACUUCGGCAACUACGGCGCUCUUCACCGCGGUUGUACUGCCGACAGCAACGUCAAAGGCGGAAGCGGCACCAGCUCGGUGCGGAAGGUGCGGGCGUACGACGGUGCCGAGGACGUGCAGCUGCCUCUCGACAAGGAGUACGCACCGGUACUUGCGACCGAAGCAAUGGCGGUUCUGGCCGCGAACGUCGUCUUCUUCCUGCGAGACCCCGAGCAGACAAUCCGCGCGCUCGUGCUGCCUUUACUGCACUCGAUGGUGCGCUACGCCUCCCUGGGAGGUCAGCGCAGCAGCGGCAAUGCAGGACUCACGGAACAGCAGCUGGCGUACAGGACACAGCUGCUCGAGACUACGCUACGCCACGAGGUUCUCGCCUCCCUGCGGCGCGGCGUCGUGGCCAAGGAUGUUCACAUUCGCUGUGCGCACAUGCAGGCCUUUGAGGGCUUCGGGCGCCACUUCAGCGCUGAGUUCCCGAGCUUCGCUCUGCUGUACUCCCCCAACACGGAGCAGAACUUCUACGCAAACGUCGGCCACGUCCAGCAUAGGUGCCGCCUACAUGCCCUGGCGGUGCUGCGGCAGCACGCCCCAGAUAUGAACGUGCGUGACGUGUUGCGCGUCUUUGUGCCGUUUCUGCUGAGCGCUGUGAAGGACUUUGCGGAGGGCAAGCGCAGCCAGGCCAACCUGACGGAGGGUCGUGCGCGUGGCUACUGCGACGCCGUGCUGCUCACAGUGAGCUCCAUUGCGGCGCGUCUGCCGUGGAUGGCGUACUACCGCGUGCUGUCGCUCUUCCUCUCGAACGCGAAUGCGAAUGCCAACCUGCGAGCGACGAUGCUGCGCGGCGUGGUUCAGGUGCUCAGCACCUUCCAUUUUCUGGACGACCCUGCUGAGGCCAGCGCCGAAGGUGCGGCGGCCCACGUGGGCGAUGAUGGGGAAGCGGAGGAAGACGAGGUCAACGACGUGGACGAUGCGGUGCGCGCCGAGCUGUCCGCGAAGCAGCGUGAGUACCGUCACGCGAAGGUAAUGCGGGUGCUCGAGGUCGACGUGCUGCCGCAGCUGUACAGCUACUUGGGUGACAAGGAAGCGAGCAAGGCAAUCAGUGGCCGCGGCGCCGUUAACCAGCACAGCAUUACUGCUGUGCGUCAGGAGCAGGAGCGCGAAGACGCGGCGUCGGCGCAGGCGAAAAAUGCGCUGCUGCAGCUGCCAGUGGCGAUGGCGAUCACAAAGAUUGUAAAGCACUUCCCAGAGGACCGCUUCCACGUGCACGUCGACCACCUGCUCGACGAGCUCAUCAAGAAGCUGCGCACAAAGAAUGACAAGCGUCGGGAGAGCGCGCGCCGAAUCCUUGGUGCGAUGCUGCAGGAGACGGGACCGUCCAAGCUGAAGUUCGUGGUGGCAAAGCUGAAGGACAAUCUCGUUCACGGCUACCAGCUCCACGUGCUCGGCUACACACUCGUGACGCUCCUGCACCAGCUCUAUGAGCCGAACAGCAAGCUCCUGCAACCAUCCAGGUCCUCCUCGUCCGCUGCAGUGGCCGCCGCCUCCCACUCGCCCGCGCGUAGUGCUCCUCAAGAUCCGGUGCAGGAGGCUCUGGAGGGGGCGAAGAAACAGCACCGGCGCAACAGUCCGUCAUCGCCUCCGUCGCGCCGGCAGCGCACAGAGAAGGCCGCAGACAAGGAUGGCAAGAGCGGAACAGAUGUGCCACCGGCCGAGCAGGUAGACGAGGACACCGCUGUCGAGCGCGCGGAGGAAGCACUACUGCAAGAGCUCGGCACCGCCACGCACGCCAGGUUCGACUACCGGCACGGCAUUGACUGCCUCACAGAGGUGUUGGAGGACCUGCUGCUCAUCUUCCUGGACGACUACCUUGGCGAGGUAGGUGUGCAAAAAGAGCAGGUGGAGGUGAUGAGCACCAUGGUCGAAGUGAAACGCAACCGGGCGUUACAGGGCUUCGCCUUUCUCGGCAAGCACUGCGACGCCGAGACAGUGAUGCAGGCGUUCCUUCACCGCAUCACGUGGGUGCUCACACCGCCAUCCGAAACCGCCAUGAGCGCGGGGGAGCUGCAUGGCAGUGCCAGAGCCCGCGCAUUGCUGGUGCAGGAGAUGAAGAGCAAGUAUCUGACCAUCAGCAAGGGCGGGAGUGCGGAUCUGAUUUUCGUGAACAAGGUGCGUCUGCUCGCCGUGCGCGUCGCACGCUCUAUCAUGGCGAACCCGACCAUGUCAGUCGAGAAGUCGUUUGAGCAGGUGCGCCGCCUGCUCGACCAGCACAAUCGCACGCGAGAGGAGAAGAUCGUCGCGUUCGAGGCAAAGAAUGGCACGCGGCGCAUCCGCGGCAACGCGCACGUCAUCCUGCACACGGCAGAACGCCAGAGCCGCAAGGAGCAGCUGGAUCAGAACUACCUCGUCGCCCCGGUGCCGGAGCGCGUCGACGUCGACUUCAGUGCGCACACCAUCCUGGCCACGCAGCAGAAGCAGAAGCUGCGGGUGUACCGCGGUCGGUACGGGAAGGAGCUGAUGGAGGCGGCGAAGAACUUCUACCGCGAGGACCCGGUCACGGCCGUUGUGCUCGAUACCCUCGACGAGUUCCUCUUAAAGUUUCUGCUCAGCGUGCUGAAGCAAGUGUUAGGGAUCGGCAAGGAAAAGCGUUACUCAAAGGCGGCCAUGAAGCUGGACAUGCUGCGCCACCACCGUGCGCGGCAGCAGGAGCGGGAGGCAGAUGGGGAGGACAGUGCCACGUCAGGCGAUGACGAUGGUGUCCAAGACGAGGAGGGCCACGUCGAUGAAGCGCAGGAGGCUCACACAGAGCGCGGAUCGGAGGAGGAUGAGGAAGAAGAGGGCGGCGCAGCGGGCACCGACGCCGUCGAGAAUGGCGAGAACGUGGACGGGCUGGGGGCGUUUGCGGAGACGCAAGCAGUGGCAGAAGGGGACGCGAAGAAUGCUACCCGUCAGGCGCGGGGCGAGGCGCAGCUGGCCGCGGCCCUCCUAGCCCCUGGAAGCGAUCUCACAGUCACCUUCACGCGCGAGCAUCGUGGCCUGCUCGAGUCGCUCGUCCCUGCCGUUCUGACGUGCCUGCAGGGCGAAGGCAGCGACGCGGUCGUCGCGAACGCGCUCGAUUGCCUGCUCGCACUUGUCUCCCUGCGACCACCGCUCGACGCUGUCAACGGACUGCAGAAGGAGCUCUUCGAGACCGUGACCAGCUUCAUUGAGCGCGGCUCCGUUAUCAAACAGCGAGCCAUCCGCCUCACGGCGGCCAUGGUAGCUCACCAAAAGUACGUCGUCUCGGAGUCCAACGCAGUACAACUCGUGAAGCUCGUCCGUGCCGAGUUGAUGGAGCGGAACGAGUACAUGUCUGUUUGCCUUAGUCUCCUCUACGCCGUCCUCGGCAAGCACGUGCACAUCGCUGAAAUAUACGACUUGAUGGACAUCAUCACAGAGCUGCUGCUGCACUGGAGCGCGCACCGCGUCAUUCGGCGCCGUUGCAUCCUCAUCCUUGUCCGCUUCCUCCUAGAGUACCGCCUGACGCCAGAGAAGUUCAAGUCUCACAUCGACCUCUACUGUCGCAACCUCGACUACCCGGAGCUGACGGGGCGCACGGCGCUGCUGGAGCUGCUCGACGCGCUCAUUCUGCGACUGCCCGCCGUUAUCCUGCGCGAGGAGGCGCCGGUGCUGCUGGUGCCGCUAGCAGCGACGGUGACGGGCAGUGAAUGGGUCGAGUGUCGCCGGCAGGGCGGCACCGUUCUCCAGCACCUGGCCCGCUGCGCCGGCGUCGAUGUGCUGGUCCCUAUCCUGUCGUCGUGGAUGGCCGCCGCGCAGCCGCGGGCGACGCGCAGCAUGGGUGUGCAAACGUGGGCCGCCAUUGUCCCUGCCCUGGCUGAGUUCUACGAGCUCGGCGCCGACCAGAAGGGCGAGGACGACGACGGCGACGAGGACGCAGCAGCAGCCAAGGCGCAGAACCGUGCUGCCUUCCAGGCCUGUUGCGCAUGGUCAGUCGAAGCUGUGCUUGAUGGAUGUAUGUUCGAUCAACUGGCUGCCGCGCGCCGCAACAAGCAGCUGCAUCAGCUAUCCGCGAAGUCGCGUGAAAAGGUGGAGACGGAAGGGUGGGCGUACAUCUUCUAUAGUCUGCGCGCCGCCGAGACGAUGCUGACGGCGCUGCCGCACGAGCUGUAUCCGCUUCUGGCGCCACGCCUUCUGCCCCACAUUACGGAAGUGCUCAUUCUGCACACCCAUCCGUGGGUGCGUGCGGUGGCGAUGCGGGUGUUGCGACACUACCUCUACACCUACGUCGAACGCCACUGCUACUACCUGCAAGAGGACGCGUGGCAGGAGUCGGCAUGCGGGCAGGCAGACAGUGGCACAACCGAUGGCGACACCACGGCGAGCAAAGGCGACGGCGACGUAGCCGCUCUCCUAUUCGUCACGGAGGCGACAAGCGUGCCCUCAAAGGCGGCCGUCGCACAAGCCUUGCAGACCCUGCAAGCCUUCUCCAGCCUCCUGAAGCGUCUCCUAGGUAUCGUGAGCACAUCCGAUGUGGCGAUGGAGGUGUACAACGCCCACCGCGCGAUUGCCAACCCCGUUCGAAGCGAGCUGCUCAAGGUUGCCAUCUACGUGCUGCGAGCCCAGGUCCAACUGGCGCUCUUCGCUCUGACACGCGCCGCCACGACCGGCCGGCACCGCUACCAUCGAGAUGUUCAGCAGCGUGUGCGCACCGUGUACACAUCGCUGCAGCAUCAGCUCUUCUCUCUCACCUCUCCAGUCGUGCAGCAGGAAAGCCUUGUGAACUACAUGGUACGCAGCACCACGCUACUGCAGCUGUUUGGUGGCUGGGCGUCGGUGCUGCCGCGCGAGGUAGCGACCAAUGUCAGUGACGGCGCGGAGCCGAACCUAGCAUACAGCGUUCACAACGCACAGGUGCGGUGGCUGGCGCAGACCCAACUCUGCCCAGCGACGCUGCUACGCGAGUGUGUGGUGCCGUUGCUCGGGCUAGGACUGCGGGCGAAGCCGAUCUCCGAGAAGAUCUCGCUCAUUGCCUUUCAGGUGGCGGGGGUUGUGGUGCAACAGCUGGAGGAGCGCCGCCAAGAGCUGGCCACGCCGGUUCGAGCGAACGCAUCGACGGCGAAGAAAGACGAUGAAGCACCGCUAGGGAAGAAGCGCUCACGCUCUGCGGCGGCGGUGGCCGCAGCUAACGACGGCGACGAAGCGGAUGCGGCUGCUGGUCGUGUGCCUUUGGAUGAGGUGCUCGUGACACUCAAGACACAGCUUGCCAGCAUCCACGAGGCUCGCCGCGAUCAGCAAGUGACGCAGAACACAAAGAAGGCGCUGAAGCGCAGCCAUCGCCAGAUGGAGCGGGAGGAACGCAAGCAGAUGCAGCAGUCCCGCCGCAGCGCUUAGUGCCUCCUCCACAAGCGAAAAGAGGGUAAAGUGACGCACGUAUUGGUGCAUCAACGCAUCCAGUGCUGCUCUUCGUGCUUGUUGGCGACAGCGCUUCGCCGACGGACGUGCUCCCUCACGGCUUCGCGCCUCCCUCGCUCUCCCUACUAGCGCACCAGCAAGCAAGCAAGCAAGCAGGAAAGGGUAGUGCGCGCAAACAGGCCUGCGUGCAGAGAGGGAGGAAGGGGUCGGGUUCAGGAAGUGCAUGUUGUGGAACGCGUGCCUCCACCAGACCAUCCCGCGGCGUUUUCACGUCCAGCGCCAUCGCUGUGUCUCCCUUGCUUUGUUUUUCCCCCUCCGGUUUGGGUGUAUGAAUUUGUGUCCGUGCUGCUUCGCCUUUUUUGGUGGUGUUGGAGAGCUGGAAUGGGCUCGGUGCGGACUCGAAGAAUGGCAAGUGCCCUCCCCCUCUGUCUCUCUCGUGUAUGUUUAACAUCUAAUCGCGUAAUGCACAUUAAGAAGGCGCGUUUGGCUGCACGGCGGGUGCGCUCCUCGGCUCACAACCGAC